rnacentral:miRNA from 1 species
UUUGCCACUCAUACGGAUGC